UAAAGGCGUAAGAAUUGUAUCCUA
rnacentral:siRNA from 1 species